rnacentral:precursor_RNA from 1 species
CUUCCCCGGCCGGCUGCGCGAUGGGCUGCGGGAACUCCACCGCCACCAGCGCGGGCGCGG